UACGAAGGGGGCUAGCGUUGCUCGGAAUCACUGGGCGUAAAGGGUGCGUAGGCGGGUCUUUAAGUCAGGGGUGAAAUCCUGGAGCUCAACUCCAGAACUGCCUUUGAUACUGAGGAUCUUGAGUUCGGGAGAGGUGAGUGGAACUGAGAGUGUAGAGGUGAAAUUCGUAGAUAUUCGCAAGAACACCAGUGGCGAAGGCGGCUCACUGGCCCGAUACUGACGCUGAGGCACGAAGGCGUGGGGAGCAAACAGG
rnacentral:rRNA from 1 species